UCCGGGAGGACCAUCUCCCAAGGCUAAAUACUCCCUAGUGACCGAUAGUGAACCAGUACCGUGAGGGAAAGGUGAAAAGCACCCCGGAAGGGGAGUGAAACAGUUCCUGAAACCGUGUGCCUACAAGUAGUUAGAGCCCGUUAAUGGGUGAUAGCGUGCCUUUUGUAGAAUGAACCGGCGAGUUACGAUUUGUUGCAAGGUUAAGCGGAAAAAGCGGAGCCGUAGCGAAAGCGAGUCUGAAUAGGGCGCAUAAGUAACAGGUCGUAGACCCGAAACCAGGUGAUCUACCCAUGUCCAGGAUGAAGGUAAGGUAAUACUUACUGGAGGUCCGAACCCACGCACGUUGAAAAGUGCGGGGAUGAGGUGUGGGUAGCGGAGAAAUUCCAAUCGAACUUGGAGAUAGCUGGUUCUCUCCGAAAUAGCUUUAGGGCUAGCCUCGAGGUAAAGAGUCAUGGAGGUAGAGCACUGUUUGGACUAGGGGCCCUUCUCGGGUUACCGAAUUCAGAUAAACUCCGAAUGCCAUGUACUUAUACUCGGGAGUCAGACUGCGAGUGAUAAGAUCCGUAGUCGAAAGGGAAACAGCCCAGACCACCAGUUAAGGUCCCCAAAUAUAUGUUAAGUGGAAAAGGAUGUGGGGUUGCUUAGACAACCAGGAUGUUGGCUUAGAAGCAGCCACCAUUGAAAGAGUGCGUAAUAGCUCACUGGUCGAGUGACCCCGCGCCGAAAAUGUACCGGGGCUAAACAUAUUACCGAAACUGUGGAUGAACCUCUUCGGAGGUUCGUGGUAGGAGAGCGUUCUAAGGGCGGUGAAGUCAGACCGGAAGGACUGGUGGAGCGCUUAGAAGUGAGAAUGCCGGUAUGAGUAGCGAAAGAAGGGUGAGAAUCCCUUCCACCGAAUAUCUAAGGUUUCCUGAGGAAGGCUCGUCCGCUCAGGGUUAGUCGGGACCUAAGCCGAGGCCGAUAGGCGUAGGCGAUGGACAACAGGUAGAGAUUCCUGUACCAGUGCUAAUUGUUUAACCGAUGGGGUGACACAGAAGGAUAGGGAAUCGCACGAAUGGAAAUGUGCGUCCAAGCAGUGAGUGUGAGAAGUAGGCAAAUCCGCUUCUCGCGAAGCAUGAGCUGUGAUGGGGAAGGAAAUUAAGUACGGAAGUUCCUGAUUUCACGCUGUCAAGAAAAGCCUCUAGGAAGAGUAGUACUGCCCGUACCGCAAACCGACACAGGUAGAUGAGGAGAGAAUCCUAAGGUGAGCGAGAGAACUCUCGUUAAGGAACUCGGCAAAAUGACCCCGUAACUUCGGGAGAAGGGGUGCUCUAUUAGGGUGCAAGCCCGAGAGAGCCGCAGUGAAUAGGCCCAGGCGACUGUUUAGCAAAAACACAGGUCUCUGCAAAACCGUAAGGUGACGUAUAGGGGCUGACGCCUGCCCGGUGCUGGAAGGUUAAGAGGAGUGCUUAGCUUCGGCGAAGGUACGAAUUGAAGCCCCAGUAAACGGCGGCCGUAACUAUAACGGUCCUAAGGUAGCGAAAUUCCUUGUCGGGUAAGUUCCGACCCGCACGAAAGGCGCAACGAUCUGGGCACUGUCUCAACGAGAGACUCGGUGAAAUUAUAGUACCUGUGAAGAUGCAGGUUACCCGCGACAGGACGGAAAGACCCCGUGGAGCUUUACUGCAACCUGAUAUGGAAUGUUUGUACCGCUUGUACAGGAUAGGUAGGAGCCGAAGAGACGUGUGCGCUAGCAUACGAGGAGGCAAUGGUGGGAUACUACCCUGGCUGUAUGACCAUUCUAACCCGCCACGCUUAGCGCGUGGGGAGACAGUGUCAGGUGGGCAGUUUGACUGGGGCGGUCGCCUCCUAAAGAGUAACGGAGGCGCCCAAAGGUUCCCUCAGAAUGGAUGGAAAUCAUUCGCAGAGUGUAAAGGCACAAGGGAGCUUGACUGCGAGACUGACAAGUCGAGCAGGGACGAAAGUCGGGCUUAGUGAUCCGGUGGUUCCGCAUGGAAGGGCCAUCGCUCAACGGAUAAAAGCUACCCCGGGGAUAACAGGCUUAUCUCCCCCAAGAGUCCACAUCGACGGGGAGGUUUGGCACCUCGAUGUCGGCUCGUCGCAUCCUGGGGCUGUAGUCGGUCCCAAGGGUUGGGCUGUUCGCCCAUUAAAGCGGCACGCGAGCUGGGUUCAGAACGUCGUGAGACAGUUCGGUCCCUAUCCGUCGCGGGCGCAGGAAAUUUGAGAGGAGCUGUCCUUAGUACGAGAGGACCGGGAUGGACACACCGCUGGUGUACCAGUUGUUCCGCCAGGAGCAUCGCUGGGUAGCUAUGUGUGGCAGGGAUAAACGCUGAAAGCAUCUAAGCGUGAAGCCCCCCUCAAGAUGAGAUUUCCCAUUUCUUCGGAAAGUAAGAUCCCUGAAAGAUGAUCAGGUAGAUAGGUUUGGAGUGGAAGUGUAGCGAUACAUGGAGCGGACAAAUACUAAUCGAUCGAGGACUUAACCAAAA
rnacentral:rRNA from 1 species